CUGUGCCUCUCGAUUCUUCUUGAUGACUCCUUCUCUCUUAGUGACUCUUUUCACCUCCGCGCUACAGUUCUUCCUUCUCGCUCUCACUGCCUCUUCAUCGUGACAAUUUUCUUUGGCCUGCGAAGCACCGCUCCCACACAUUCCUCCUGGAAGCAUCGCGAGAGUGCGAGACACAAAUCUUUGAAAAGAAAAUAAAAGUGUUGUUGGCGCUGGUGUUUAUGAGUUCUGUUUUUGUUGCCUGGAAGAGGUGAGGCGACACUCGACAGAGAGCCAUGCUCGACGGAUAUGAGAUAACCUUGAGGAGGUGAGGCGACGCCGCGAUGGAGAUGAGGUCGCGUUGAGGAGGUGAGGCGACAAAGACGUAGUGAAAGCACAAAAGAGUUGAAGAACAUCUUUAGGACAUCCGUGUGACGCUUUGAAGAAUAACUGAUUUUUAUAAAAAAAGGUGUAUUUCCCACUCCUUUUUUAAGAAAAGGUUUGCUGCUUAUAUUACUAUUUUAUUUGCUGGAAUCAAAUGAAAAAAUAAAGUUUA